UACAGAGGGUGCGAGCGUUAAUCGGAAUUACUGGGCGUAAAGCGUGCGUAGACGGUUAUUUAAGUCGGGUGUGAAAGCCCCGGGCUCAACCUGGGAAUUGCAUUCGAGACUGAAUAGCUAGGGUACGGUAGAGGGAAGUGGAAUUUCCGGUGUAGCGGUGAAAUGCGUAGAUAUCGAGAGGAACACCUGCGGCGAAGGCGGGUUGCUGGGCCGACACUGACGCUGAUGCGCGAAAGCCAGGGAGCGAACGGG
rnacentral:rRNA from 1 species